AUACUUACCUGGCGUAGGGGAUACCGUGAUCACGAAGGCGGUUCCCCCAGAGCGAGGCUCCUCCAUUGCACUGCGGUGGGGUUGACCUCUGUGAUUAUCCCUAAUGUGGAUAACUCGGACGCGUAAUUUUUGGUAGUGGGGACUGCGUACGCGCCGUCCCCUC
rfam:Danaus plexippus plexippus isolate F-2 unplaced genomic scaffold DPSCF300041, whole genome shotgun sequence.